UAAGCGACAGUAUAAUCAGAUAUGUUCAACUUAUAUUUAUUAUGGAGUAGUGUAAUGUGUGUAAUGUUGUGACAGUUUAUAAACAUCAGCAUUGGCAGAAGCCGGAUUGUUACCUGUUGACGAUUUACUCAAUUUAUGUGAAAUCAACAGCGACUUAGAGGGAUAUCCAACUUCCAUUUGACUGAAAAUGUACAAACAGAGUCAACUAAUGAGAUUGCUACGUCAAAUGAUGAAAAUAAUCAGCUUAUCUCAUAGUGUCAAGUGAAUUAUCAAGACUAUCUGCGACCAAUGACUCGCCGAGGGCCACCCAGGUAUAUUCUACGAGCAGUUCUUCGCGAAUCGGGUCAUCGCCAAGCCCCAGCGACCCAAGUGGCAGCCCACUAGCCGUGCUAUGACUAGACUCAACUGUAUCGCAGUGCUGGAGUCGUAGAAUUCCGGCGCUAAGAAUUCAGGUGCACCAAUUAGACCAACUAACAGAAAACUACGUAAGCAUUACGUACGUAAAAAACGGAGACAAAAAGCAAAGGGGAGCAAUGAAGGGUGCCAGUGACAAGUCUAGGUCUACCAACAAAACCAGUGGUGUCCUGCUGGCAUGGACCGAGUCUGCCACGAGUCCUGUCCACUCCGGUGAUAACCUCCCUGAUGAUCGUCAGCCCCGAGAUAUCGAUAUCCAACCUUGGUCAAUUGUCGAGCGACUGUACCGCAGACUCGUUGAAGGCCAAGAGUCAGCUGACCCUCCGGCAAAGGGACUCUCCUCCGAGUAAGCUGACAGAGACGAGCACUUGAAAUUAGAAGAAGCGCAUUUAUCAGUACCACUUGUAGCAAACAGUCGCUUCUCUGUCUAGCGACCGGCCGCACUCAUGUCCGACUGUUAAGGGGAGUUUCUACGGCGGAAAAGUCAACCCCUAGUAACAAAAAGAACGACAACAAGAACGAACAAUGAUGCAAGGUAAUCUCCAGACCCGGUCGUAGUAGUCUCGACUCCCGGCAAGCUGAUGUAACGAACACCUGUCGGCUCUUGACUCCUGUUCGCAACCAAGAUAAUUUUAACGAAGUGACUGACGAAGACUUCGAGCUGCUCUCCGCUGAAAAUACUCUGACCGAGGACGAAAAAGACGAUCCAGAUUCCGGUAGGCUAAAGAUCGAGUUAACUGAUGAAGAAAAGGAAAAGGAAGCCUCCGGAUAGUAUCGAUGAAGAAGCUGUUGUCUCUUCUAUUGACAUGACCAUGCUCGGAGACUUUGAAUGUGUCAUGUGGGCUGAAGAAUGCAGCACUGCUGGCAGUUCAUUAGAAUCUUAAGUAUGGGUAGAAGCUGGAUUGUUUCCUGUUGAAGAUUUAUUCAAUUUACGUAAAAUCAACAGCGACUCAGAUGGACAUACAACUCCAAGAUUGAAUUUCGUUGAUGAGGGUAUUAUAUCCCUGGGUUGAGGUCUUUCAGUUGCUGCUGAUAAGUAUGGCUUAUAUUGAAAAAAAUUAUGACAAAGCCAAUUACCGAAUAAUUAAUUUUAGUGUAUACUAUUUAAUUGGUGAUGGAGAAUCAGCAAAAGGUACAAUUUGGGAAGCCCUACAUUUUGUCUCUUUCUAAAAACUUGAUAAUCUUACUGCCAUUUUUGACAUCAAUCGUCUCGGUCAAAGUGAACCUGCUUCUUUACAACAUAACAAGGAAGUAUACCGAAAGCGCUUCAAGGCAAUUAGAUUUAAUGCUUUAGUUAUCGAUGGCCAUGAUAAUAAAGAAUUGGACAAGCAUCACCAUUUUACAAGCCUCACACACCGUUUAUCUGCCACAGCGUCUAUCCGUCUAUCUGGCGAAAAAUUGCGUACAAGAUGAACAAUUGGACAGCACAAGAAGACGCAGCCUUGUUGAAUCUCCGGCUGAUAAGACAUGGAACGGCAUACAUUUUCAACCAAUUACGGAAUGAUGAAUUGGACGUUUGGAUUGUUAUCUCCCACGAAGCAAUUUUUGGUGGAUAAGGUGCUCAAGCUCUAUAGGAGCGUUUUGAAGAAUUGCUCGAUGAAUGCUUGGUAGAUGUUUUGAAUAUCAACUAAUAAGCGUGGUUAUUAGUUGGAUGUGCGACCACGCUCAAUGCUGCUUACCUGGGUGAUCGCCCAAAUCAAACGUGUGCCGCUCGGCUAACUCUGCCACUUACAUAAAAGUAAAAUUCCAAAUAUAAACCUGCAGGGAAAAAACAAAAUGAAAACAAUAUACGUAAUGUAAUCCUGAAUUUUCAACAUCUUAACUUCAAUAAAUUUAAACUAAAACUUACUAUAAACAUAAUAAUUAAUAGGAUGAAGUAUCAGAAACACUUGAAGUAGACGUAUGAACUCGGUCAAGUCGUCAAUAUAUUUGGAGUUCAUUAAGAAAUUAAUCUAUAUUAUUUAAAAUGGGAACCUAUCAAAAUAGACACAUGGAGUAAACGUAUCAGUUUCAUUAGUGCAUUAACGGUUGGUUAACAAAAUCACCGGUAGUAUUUAAAAAAAGUGCCAUUCGACAGCCGAAAUGGAAGUAGAUUUCAUUAUAAAUAAAAAUGAGUGCAACAGCAAAUUUCAUAUUUAGCAUAGCGGAAUAGGACUUAUUUUUAAGACUACACAUAUGAUAUGGUACUCAAAUUGAAGCUUAUUUAAAGAGCUUUAAGAUUCAACUAACAGAGAUUCAAUAAGUUUUACCAUUCCAAAGUUAUUCGAGUUAGAAAGU